AGUGAACGCUGGCGGUAGGCCUAACACAUGCAAGUCGAACGGCAGCACAGUAAGAGCUUGCUCUUACGGGUGGCGAGUGGCGGACGGGUGAGGAAUACAUCGGAAUCUACUUUUUCGUGGGGGAUAACGUAGGGAAACUUACGCUAAUACCGCAUACGACCUACGGGUGAAAGCAGGGGAUCUUCGGACCUUGCGCGAUUGAAUGAGCCGAUGUCGGAUUAGCUAGUUGGCGGGGUAAAGGCCCACCAAGGCGACGAUCCGUAGCUGGUCUGAGAGGAUGAUCAGCCACACUGGAACUGAGACACGGUCCAGACUCCUACGGGAGGCAGCAGUGGGGAAUAUUGGACAAUGGGCGCAAGCCUGAUCCAGCCAUACCGCGUGGGUGAAGAAGGCCUUCGGGUUGUAAAGCACUUUUGUUGGGAAAGAAAAGCAGCAGGUUAAUACCCCGCUGUUCUGACGGUACCCACAGAAUAAGCACCGGCUAACUUUGUG
rnacentral:rRNA from 1 species